UAACUUCAGAGCCUUUUUUCUUUAAUCUUCUUAUUUGAUUUCUCAUGGUAUAUGGUUACUUUUAUCCACUGUAACUGUUUGAUGUUCAGGAGGAGCUGAAAUAUUUAUGCUUUUGCAUGCGUUUAGGUAGAGAUGUCUGUCUAGUAAUGAGGCAUGGCAUGAGGAUAAAGGAAAUCUUCAUAGUUUAGUAUGGCUAUUAAAGUAUAUCAUUUUUUUUGGCCAUGUUUUUAUGUUGUUAUUGAUUUAAUGAUCAAAACUAUAUAUAUUUGUCAAAUUACCCUGUGAUGUAUUAUUUGUAAAUAUUAUUAAUCUAUAUAUCAAUAAAUUUAUAAUAUAUUAAUAUAAUAUUAUUAUCAUAUAUAUAAUAUUAGUUAUAUAAUAUAAUUAGUGUAAUGUUAAUAUAAUAUAAUUGAGGACAUUUUCGUUAAGAAAUGAUAUUUUCAGAUUACCUCCAUUUGGCAAUCCAGCAUGGGAAAAUAAAUACCACCCCCCGGUGGUAUUUGUUUUACCUUCUCUCUUAGAAAAAUAGACAUGAAACUCAUCAUUUAUUUUACCGUUUCUCUCAUCUAUUUUUUUAUGCCAAAUAUGGUAAUCUGACAUGUGAUUUAUUUUUCUAUGCUAGAUCACCCCCAACCAAAUGGGCCCUUAGUGUUUUCUAUCUUCCAAAUACUUCAGCAGUUUGCCAUCACCAUGAUAUAUCAAUCAAUUUUAAAUUAAUCAUCUCUUUAUCCUUUAAUUCUCCAGUGAGUCCAAAACACCAAAUAUUGCAUGCCAUUCUUUUGAUUCCUGUUGUUACUUUGAGGCAAUGCUGUAUUCAUCGUCAAGCUGGGAUAUUUAACAAAAAGAUGGCUUAUUGUCUCUAAGUAGUUGCUUUAAAGGCUGUGCUUUUGCGGUGAGGUCCAACUUUCUUCUUCCAAAAUCUCUUAUGUAAGAUGUGUGCUGUUUGCCAAAAACCCCAUAAAAAAGGCACCGACAUGGGGGAUGAGACAUUUCUGGAUGGCCUUAGAAAAGGGACAGGUGAAAGAUAAUGAUUACCUCAAGGCACCAUUAAAAGAGGUCAUCUAUUGCACCUCUUGAAGCAAGAAAGACUUCUGCAUCAUUGUCGCUGCAGAAUAAAAUUCAUGAAGCAUUCCUUGAGGGGAAGAUCUGAAAGAUAAGUAUCCAGCCAAAUGCCAUUUUCAAUAAGGAAAUUGAUACCAGAAGUAAAUGAAUUGCCAACUUUGCAAACCUUUUCCAUUUGUGGUAAGA